rnacentral:lncRNA from 1 species
UGCCAGACCACCCAGGCCUGUAUUCCUUCCACUUCGCCUGACUCUUCCUAGGCACCCAGCUCUCUACGUGGCAAAACAUGGAGCAAUGUGUCCCCAUCAGUGGGAAGGCAAAGGUACGGCCUUGGUGUGCUGGAUGGACCCUUGCAGAUGGCUCAGAGAGAAGGAAGCACGCGCUCUUCUUUCAUUACAGAGAGAAUCUCCUAAGGAGAGUUUUAAAAGACAGAAAGAAGUGAGGGGAAAGACGGCGUAGUCACAGGCUAGACUCAACACUUUGUGAAGAGAGGCUAGCUCAUACAGUUCCACUCUGGUGCAGCCCAGAACAUCCAGAGCAGUUCAUAGUACUGCUUUGAGGACCACAAGGCUGCAUCGUUGGCUGCCGUGACCUUCGACUCUGAUUCAAGCCUUGCUCUGGAUCUCUGAACAGACAAACUGCUACCUUCCCACCCCAAACACUCCAUAGUGCUUGACCAAAUCUGCUCACUCAGCUCCAAGGCAGGAGGUGACUCCAAGCUGGGAAGAAAGGGGGACAUGCCAUUUGGGCUUAUCAUGCUAAUCUUAUCCCUGACUCCCAGGAUAUCUGAAGAGGUGCAUUCAGUGUUUACACAGGCGUUUACAGCCUCCCAGGGAGGAAGGCGGGGCUAAUAAAGUUGGGCACUUUUCAGAGAUCCACGAGGCAAAGGAGCCUUUGGGUCAACAACUUGUCCACAUGGGGUUGCACCAUCUGCUUGUUUCCAUGCAUUCCUGGAGCUCCUAUCUCAUAAACAGCUGACAUUCGACUCCUUUGGCCCUGACACUGCUCCUUUCACUGGUGACCCUGUUGAUCAAUAACACAGAGCAACAUUGUUUGUUAACUCUCAACAAGGACCUCAUGAUCUUCGCUCCCGUAUUUUAUGUCCACCUCAUCAGCUUCCCUCAGCAGCCUGCAAAUGACCUGCAAAUGCUUUUCAAAGCAAUGGCAGAAAAUAGCUCAAAGAGUAUCUGAAAAUGAUUAACCCAAGGACAUUAAAGAGAGACCAACUCAUAAGAGAAAGAUGCCCUGCAGAGUACUGUGUCCAUUUAGGUAUAUUCAAUUGGAAAAAGUGGUUAGGAACAGAGCAUUUUAAUUGACUUCAUUUAAACUGGGAUGAUUCAAGGAUUAUAAACAAAAUUUUCUGUUUGCAGCACUAGCAUUCAAUUUAGAUUAAAUUGCCUGGUGAUUAAUUAAUUUAGGACAGUGCUCACCGAGAAAUUGCCAUCAAUACACAUCUGUCAAACCAAUUUGCCACAGACUGUCACACCUCUGGGGUAUGAACAAUACAAAUCUGGGGGAUACCCACUCAGUAAAUGGCCCCUUGCUCUUCCAAUUAAAAAUUCCAUGAUGGCCAAAUAUCACAAACUGUAGAUGGGAAAACCGAGCAUAGCUUCUCUAGCUAGCCAGCUCAAAGGUCCCAAGGAAUCCAUGUUAGCUGUUGGACAGCACGUUUGUUGAGAAGAGAGAGUUACAGAAACUGAGAGCAUAGAAACAUUGCCAGCCAACACCAGCAAGUGAUCACGGUGUGUUCGGAUCAUGUGUGUUCUGCUUUGUUCUGAGCACCACCUCCAGACUAGGUCAUUUUGUUCUACAGUAAUCCCU